rnacentral:rRNA from 1 species
UACAGAGGUGGCAAGCGUUGUUCGGAAUUACUGGGCGUAAAGGGCGCGUAGGCGGUCUUGUAAGUCUUGCGUGAAAUCCCUCGGCUCAACUGAGGAACUGCACGGGAUACUGCGAGACUUGAGUUCGGGAGAGGGAAGCGGAAUUCCGGGUGUAGCGGUGAAAUGCGUAGAUAUCAGGAAGAACACCUGCGGUGUAGGCGGCUUACUGGACCGUAACUGACGCUGAGGCACGAAAGCGUGGGUAGCAAACAGG